rnacentral:lncRNA from 1 species
GGAUCUCAAGCUGACUCCAACAAAAAUGAGUCAACUCGCCAAUCACUCGAGUCGACCCAAUUGAGAAUCGAGUCGACUCCACAUGCAUACCAGUCAUAGUUUUAUGUUUUCAUGCAAAUAAAGCCUAGGGUUUUGGAUCAAAGAUUUUACAGAAAUUAAGUUUUAGAUCAUGUGUCAAAAUAAUAUAUCAAAUAUAAUAUUUAACAAUCUAAAAUAUAUAAAAAUACAUGCAUAAUCUGAUUUAAAUCUAAAAUAUGUAACAAUUAUAAUUUUUCGUUCACUAUUCAUCUUCAUAGGAAACAUCAC